AUUAAGUAACAUAAAAAUUCAUAAACUUUCCAAGAUAAGCAACACAUGAAUAGCAUGAACUUCAAUAUGGAAGACCUUUGCAUAGUGGAUAUCCAAUUUUAAAUUGCAUACCUCUUGAGGGUUUAUUAAAGCUCUUUCAAGUUCAUGAACGUCAGUCACAAAAUAAGUUUAUGGUGAGUAAUGAUAUGUUGUUCAUUCUUUACUUUUACAUAUAUAUAGAUAAAGACUGGUCCGAUGGACGGGUUUAUUUUCUUAUAACUAAAUUCAAAUUUAACAAAAAUAAUAAUUGACAACGUUGUAAGUUUUCAAAAGUAAAAAAAAUAUAUAUAUAUAUAUAUAUAUAUAUAAAUUUCACUGUUGCAUUGUUUCCUUCACCACUUCAAUUAUUUGAAUGAAAAAUAUAUCAUAUAUCAAUAACUCAAAUUAUUUGAAUGAAAAAUAUAUUACGUAUCAAUAACUUUUGGUAUAGAUAUGAAUACUAAAAUUAAAAAUAUUCAUCAUAGAAUUGGUGAACGAUUCCAAAAUGGUUUUAAAUUAGACACAUUAAAAACAUAGAAUAAUUGGUAAGAAUACCCUUUCAACAUUACCUAUUUUCAAUUAUACCCUUUCUUAUUUGUCAUUUUCAUUUAUGCCUUUUUACUCCUAUUUGGAAAAUGUUUUAAGUUAACAAAAUAAAAUAUUGAUUUUUUCCUGCCUAAAAUAUUCUGAAACUAAAUUUUCCGCCAAAAUUUUCCCGCCAAAAAAAGUUUCCACCAAAACAUUUUUCUCACAAUUUUUUUGACGGGAAAUAGAUUUACAAGGGAUUUUAACAGUUUUUUAAAGGGUUUUAAAAUAUUUACAAGGAUUUUAAAAGAUUUUUUAAGGGUUUAAAAGGGUUUUAAAAGAGGGAGAUUUGCAAAACUACCCUUUUUUUACUACCCUUUUCCAACAAUACCCUUUUAUAUUUUUCAUUUUUAAAAAUAUCCCUUGCUUUGAACAGAAUGACUAAAUUACCCUCAUCUAAUAAAAACAUGUAAUUGGAAACUGAAAGUUUCCCGCUAUUUUUUUGGUGCCAAAAUUUAUUUUUCCUGCUAAAAAAAAAUUUCCCAUCAGAUCGUCCGGCUCGGCCCAAAUGAGAGCUGCUCGGCCCAACAACAUCAAGUCGGCCCAGAUGAAAGCUGCUCGGCCCAGCCCGACAAACUUGAGAGGGUAAAAACGUAAAACCGCAGGGGAGACCCUAGGUCAGCUCCUAGCCUAUAAAUAGCAGAAGACACUAUUGGGAAAAGGGACCAGGAGUUAUUACCUAGAGAAUUUAAGAGAGAAUAGUUGCCUAGCUCUGUUAUCUCUUGCUUUCCCGUUUUCCGUUUUGUAUUUUCUGGUUUUUCGAUUUGUACUUUCGGUUCUCCGUUCUGUACUUACGAUUCUCCGUUCUGUUAAAUUACCGUCUUUUCCGUUCGUCAUUAAUAAAGAAGCUACUCCGUUCUCCCCAAACCCCUUAAUAAUUAUUGUUACAACCUCUGUACAAACAAUUGGCGCCCACCGUGGGGCCAGACAGAGUUUCUUCUGAUAUUGACAAACAGAUACGAUGUUGCCAGUAAUCCCGGAGAGCCACGACGAGAUGACGGAAACCUCGAACGAGCAAGGAGUCGGAACCAGCGCGCCUCUUGCCGGACCACCAGCUCGGCAGACGACGCCCCCACCAGCUCGCCCGACGAUGCCACCUCUAGCCGCAGUUCCUGUCGCACCUCCAGCCGCAGUUCCUGUCGCACCUCCAGCCGCAGCUCCUGUCGCAGCUCCUGCCGACCUAGGAGAGAUAACUCCACGAGGAACCAAUCUCGACGAAGUCAUCCGAUCUUUCCUCGACCGACUCGACUUACAGGACGCAAGAACUUCCGAACGCAUCAACGCGAUAGUUGCCGCCCAGGAGGCCUCGCAGAAUCAGAUCGAGCAACUCCAGUCCUCCGCAGCUCGCGCAAGUCGACAGCUCAGCGAUGACGAAACAAUCCCGCCCCAGCGAACUCCAGUCAUGGAAAGAUCGGCAAACCGACGCAACAGGCCUGCCUCCAUCGUCGUUGGGUCCAUCGACGAGCACACUCGUGAAAAUGCGCCGAACCGUGACAACCGACCGAACGUCGACACUCGAGCACGCCGAACAGAAGACGAUGAUACCGGUGCGCGUGAUCGGGAACUCCAGCAACUACGAACCACAUUGAAAGAUACGUCAUCCAAGAUGCAUCGCGCCGUCAGCUCGACCCCAGAAGUAGAUAAAGUAUUGGAAGAGACGCAACGCUCUCCUUUCACUUCGUGCAUCUCCGACGUUCGCAUUCGCCACAUCAGCAAAAUUAAGUUGGCAAAUUACGAAGGACUCGUUGACCCAAGGCCAUUCUUGACGUCUGUAAGCAUAGCGAUCGGCCGUGCACACUUCUCCGAUGAGGACCGAGAUGCUGGAAGUUGUCAACUCUUCGUGAAACAUCUAAGUGGUGCCGCUCUUACUUGGUUCUCUCGACUUGAAGCCAAUUCAAUCGACAGCGUCCACGCACUCACCACUAGUUUUCUGAAAAACUACGGAGUUUUCAUGGAGAAAGGUGCUUCUAAUGUCGACCUGUGGACAAUGGCCCAAACCGCUAAGGAAUCACUCCGAAGUUUCAUCGGAAGAUUCAAAGAAAUCGUCACUAGCGUAGCCACCCCUGACGAUGCUGCAAUUGCGGCUCUGCGGAAUGCGCUCUGGCACGGGUCACGAUUUUGAGAAGAUCUUCUGCUUAACCAACCAGCGACUCUAGCAGAUGCACUACAUUGUGCAAACCGUUUCAUCGACAGGGCUCGGCGAAAGCACCAAUCGCAAAGGAAAAACCGAAGGAGGGGCAUCAUGAGUCUCGACAGCACUACGACGCUGACUACGCUAAGGAAGAGAAACUAAAAAAGGGAACGUCAUACUACGUUGGGGACACGGCACCGCGAUCUGAUAAACCAUGGAAUAAGUGGAAUCGAUCGGCCGAUGCCAAAGGAGACCAAAAAUACUAUGAGUUUCAUAAAAUUCCAGGACACUCAACUGACGAGUGUCGACAAUUACAAACUCUCCUCCUGACGAAGUUUAAAAAAGGCGAUCUCGACAUAGAGCCCGAUCGACGUCGUACGGGCACAAACGACAGAGACAACACGCAUCGUCGAGUCGAGAAUACCGACCGAGAUAAUCAAGACGAUAAACGCCGACAAGACGAAACUGAUCGACGAGCAGAACGCAUUCACGAUGAUGACCGGCGAGCAGAACCCCAUAAACGAAAUCACGAUGCACCACGACAAUUCGAGGACGAGCCGGCCUCUAAGCGUCGGAGAAAUAUGAUUAUGGGCGGCCUCACGGCAUGCCGCGAUUCAGUUCGGUCAAUCAAAAGCUAUCGCCGCCAAGGCGAGAAGCAACGUGCAUGGAUCGAGAAAAACACCUCUGCCGUUGAAUGCAACGAACCCAUCACAUUUUCUGAGGCCGAUAUCGCUCUUCCUGGAAGUCACAACGACCCGCUAGUUGUCGAAUUAAAGAUCGGAGAAAGUAUUGUCACGAAAAUUCUCAAAACGACCCGCUAGUUCUCUGUAAACGUGAUUUUCAAAGAUGUCCUUCUCCAACUGGAAAUCGAUGUUCGAUCGUUCCAGGACAAAGUCCAACCGCUAACAGGCUUCGACGGAGACACAAUAAUGACCGUCGGCACGAUCACCUUGCCAAUCUACGUUGGUGGAACGGUCUCCUGGUUUGAAUUUGCCGUUGUUGACAAACCAAUCAUCUAUAAUGUCAUACUCGGUACGCCAUGGUUGCACAAGAUGAAGGCCGUUGCGUCAAGUUACCAUCAAUGCGUUAAGUUUCCGACGCUCCGGGGAACCUAUACAUUGCGAGGCGAUCCGCUCGUCGCACGAACAUGUUUCAUGAUCGAACGACAGUUACGAAACGCUCGACCACUAUAGCAAUUACAGAGCGGGACCGCGCCGCUAGUCCCAACUCAAGAUGAACGCCCAAACCCUCAAAAAGGAACGGUCGUCCAAGUUAACAUCGAUGAAAGCGACCCGUCUCGCUGCGUUGGCAUCAGGAUUGACUUGCCGUCAGAACUCCAAAAUGAGCUUGUUAAUUUCCUCCGCCAGAAUGCAGCUACUUUCGCAUGGUCCGUUGAAGAUAUGCCGGGAAUCGACUCAGCCGUUACUUGCCACGAACUUAAUGUCGACCCGACAUAUAAACCAUUGAAACAAAAAAGACGAAAGCUCGGUCCCGAUCGCACAAAAGAUGUGAACGAGGAAGUAAAGAAAUUGCUCGAUGCCGGUUCCAUCGUUGAAGUGAGAUACCCUGACUGGCUGAGAAACCCUGUAGUCGUUAAGAAAAAGAACGGGAAAUGGCGAGUAUGCAUCGAUUUUACAGAUCUAAAUAAGGCUUGCCCGAAAGAUAGUUUUCCUCUCCCGCAUAUCGACCGACUUGUGGAAGCUACGGCUGGUAACGAGCUGCUGUCUUUUAUGGACGCUUUCUCCGGUUACAAUCAAAUUCUGAUGCACCAAAAUGACCGAGAAAAAACUGUGUUUAUCACGGACCAAGGGACAUACUGCUACAAGGUGAUGCCAUUUGGACUUAAGAAUGCGGGUGCUACUUACCCAAGACUAGUGAAUCAAAUGUUCACCGACCAGCUCGAUCACUCGAUGGAAGUCUACAUUGACGACAUGCUCGUCAAGUCGUUGCGAGCUGAAGAACACAUCACUCACCUUAGACAGUGUUUCCAAGUCCUGAAUCGUUAUAACAUGAAGUUGAAUCCGUCCAAAUGUACGUUUGGAGUAACCUCCGGAGAAUUCCUUGGUUACCUAGUCACUCGCCGCGGGAUCGAGGCUAACCCUAAGCAAAUAUCGGCGAUAAUCGACCUCCCAUCUCCAAGAAACACUCGGGAAGUACAACGGCUUAUCGGACGCAUUGCCGCCUUAAAUCGAUUUAUCUCUCGAUCAACUGACAAGUGUUUGCCUUUCUAUCAGUUACUCCGAGCCAACAAACGGUUUGAAUGGGACGAAAAAUGCGAGGAAGGGGAAACACUAUAUCUCUAUAUUGCGGUGUCUACCUCGGCCGUAAGCGGAGUCCUUGUACGAGAAGAUCGUGGAGAACAACAUCCCAUUUUCUACGUGAGCAAAACACUUGACGGUGCCGAGCUACGCUAUCCUACCCUGGAAAAGCUAGCAUUUGCAGUCGUUAUCUCUGCUCGAAAACUGCGGCCAUAUUUUAAAUCAUACACAGUCGAAGUCCUUACGAACCAGCCGCUCCGAACAAUUCUUCACAGUCCAAGCCAAUCCGGCCGACUCGCUAAAUGGGCCGUAGAAUUGAGCGAAUAUGAUAUUGCCUACAAGAACCGAACAUGCGCCAAGUCUCAUCGAGCUCCCACCAGACCUUAUCGCAGGAGUAUCCCCUGUCGAAAAGUGGAUCUUGCACGUCGACGAUGCUUCAUCUCGACACGGCUCAGGAAUUGGUGUCCGCUUGGAAUCUCCGACAGGUGAAAUACUAGAGCAAUCGUUCUGCUUAGGGUUCCCAGCAUCGAAUAACGAGGCAGAAUACGAGGCUCUUAUCGCUGGUCUGCGCCUAGCCCAUGGAAUCGAGGUAAAGAAAAUUCAAGCUUACUGCGACUCUCAACUUGUCGCCAGCCAGUUCAGUGGAAACUAUGAGGCGAAAAACGAACGAAUGGAUGCUUACCUUAAGGUUGUACGAGAACUCUCUUACAAUUUUGAAGUUUUUGAGCUCACCAAGAUUCCUCGCAGCGAUAACGCGCCUGCAGAUGCCUUAGCCGUUCUCGCCUCUACAUCUGAUCCCGACUUGCGACGUGUGAUCCCGGUAGAAUGCAUCGAUGUUCCUAGCAUAAAGAUACAAGGCACGAUCACCAAACCAUCUGAAUAUACUGUCAUCGACUUAACUGCAGAACAACUCAGCAUCGUCAUGGUUAUCUUACCACCAGCAACCGACCGCUCGGAAGAUGCCGGCCCUUCUGGCAACUUAGUCUGUUCAAGCGAUCCCGGUCAGUCUAGCGGUUGUGACCGAUCAGACGACUCCAACCGAUCAGCCGACUCUGAUUCUCCUGCUUCAACCAAUUGGAUAGAAGAAAUCCGCUCCUAUAUAGCCGAUAGAAUUGUCCCCAAGGACAAAUGGGCAGCACGACGUCUCCGCGCUCGAAGCGCUCAGUAUACGCUUCCCCACGAACAUCUUUUACGGUGGAGUGCAACUGGAGUCCUCUUGUCUUGUCUCGACGACGAGGAAGCACAACAGGUCAUGAGAGAAAUCCACGAAGGAGCCGGAGGUAACCAUUCGGGCGGCCGCGCUUUGGCUUUAAAGAUUCGCAAACAUGGACAGUACUGGCCAACCAUGAAUGCAGACUGUGAAAAAUUCGUAGCUCGUUGCGAAAAGUGCCAGGGUCACGCUCCGUUUAUCCACAUUCCAUCAGAAGUCCUCCAAACCGCCAUGCCACCUUAUCCUUUUAUGCGGUGGGCAAUGGAUAUAAUCAGACCAUUCCCUGCUUCUCGCCAAAAAAAAUAUAUUCUCGUGAUGACGGACUACUUCACCAAAUGGUUCGAGGCCGAAUCGUACGCUCGCAUCCAAUCCAAGGAAGUGCAAAACUUUGUUUGGAAGAACAUCAUUUGUCAUCAUGGACUUCCAUACGAAAUUGUUACCGACAACGGCACCCAGUUCACAUCACUCCAAUUCGAAGGCUUUUGCGCAAAAUGGAAAAUUCGUCUCAGCAAAUCAACUCCACGAUAUCCGCAAUGCAACGGCCAAGCCGAAGCGACUAACAAAACAAUUCUCGAUGGACUAAAGAAAAGGCUUGAUGAAAAGAAAGGAGCUUGGGCCGACGAGCUCGACGGGGUACUUUGGUCGUACCGAACGACACCGCGCCGAUCAACCGACCGAACUCCGUUCUCUCUAACAUACGGAAUGGAAGCAUUAGCACCGUGUGAAGCGGGCCUCCCCACAGUUCGUCGUUCUAUGUUAAUCAACGAUCCCACUCUAAACGACCAGAUGCUCCUUGACAACCUCGACACCCUUGAAGAACAGCGUGAUCAAGCACUUCUUCGUAUCCAAAACUACCAACAAGCAGCUGCCAAGUUCUACAACAAGAAAGUAAAGAAUCGACUAUUUGCAGAAGGCGACUUGGUCCUCCGUAAAGUUUUCGAAAACACGGUCGAACAGGACGCUGGCAAGUUAGGAGCUCAUUGGGAAGGUCCGUACCUUAUAUCCAAAGUCGUGAAACCAGGUGUCUACGAACUUCUCACCAUGGAUGGCACACCGAUUCCCCGUUCAUGGAACUCGGCAAAUCUGAAACGUUACUACUACUAAAACCAAAAGACACAAAAGAAAACAAAAAAAAAAUCGCUCGCCUGCCGAGCUAACCCUUUGUAAAACGAACUACGAUCGGCUUGAUCCCUUCCAAAUGGUACGUAGGCAACCUCUCACAAAGGCACAGCUAUAUAAAAAAAAAUAAUAUAAAAAGUUCUUUUAUAUACUUACUUUUCUCCCACAUCGUCUUCCUGGCUAGUUGCACGAUCUAAACAUUUAAACGCGUUCCCUCAUGGAUGCAAUGGUGCUCGUCGGUUGGGCCUAAGAAACCCGUUCCAGUCGAAAUAAUCCAUAUCUUUACUUAAGUAAGCAAAAACUUACACUUAAAGAUUAACCGCCGACCCAGAUUCGCACCCAAUAAGCUGAUAGGCGGCGGAACAUUAGUAAGCCGAGUCCGCUCGCACGUUUUUGCCUACCUGGAAGCAAUUUCAGGAUAUGCCGGACACCAGCGCCGCACCUACAAAGUACGACGAGCCAGUCUCGCAUACUUCAUACGUAAGCCUUGCGUUUCGAGCCAAACAUAUACAGGAUAAGUCAAGGGACGCCUUGCCCCAUAAUAUGUUUUGAAACCAAGCUUAAACGCCAAGGACAACCUUGUCAAAUGUAAACCAAGGAUAACCUUGCGCCAAGAACUUCAAAAAAUCGGCAGAGCUCGUCAUUACCGUUUUCACGCCUCCUAUAAACCGAUCUUAAAAAUCGUAAAACACAUUAUACAAGUCAAACCCGACUUCGCAGGCGUAACACAUGCCGAGCUCACACUUAAAGCUCACGCAAUAAUACAAAGCAAAUAAUCAUAAUUUUCGUCAAUAAAAGAGUCUAUAAAUAACAUAAAACCGCAAGAAUAUCCAUAACAAAGCAAAGACCCAACGACGGGCCAAACAUACGCAUCAAAGUCCAACUAGCCACGAAAACACAAAUGUGGAUCUAGCCUAGAAAACCGA
rnacentral:sRNA from 1 species